rnacentral:lncRNA from 1 species
UUUACUUUAGUUUCAGAUCUUCAUGUACUCUCAUUCAGUUACUUUAUAUCAUUCAGUCAGUUACUGUUCAUGCAUAUGAACCCAUGCAUAUUAGCCUUACUUCACUUAUCAUACCAAUACAUUCAACGUACUGAUCUCAUACUUAUUUUUUUGUGCUAUGAUGACUCGUAUCAUAGGUUCAGACGCACGGGUUCCUGAUCAUACUUAGCAGCUCAGGAUAUUAAUAGAAAAUUCAGUAGUGAGUCUUUAUCCAUCAAGGAUAUUAUUUUAUUUUAGCAUCUUAGAAGAUUUAGUAUAUUCAGUAAUCAGAUUUAUUUGGGGACUUGUCUAAUCAACUCUACAUUCAGACAGUUAGAGGUUUUCAGACUAGCAUAGUCAGUUAUUCAAUUUUCAGAUGUUAUUGUCAGUUAUACUCUCUUAUUAUUUUAGUAUUUUGAGAACCUUAUGGAAUUUUUAGUUACUUCCAUAUAUAUAUAU